UACGGAGGGGGCUAGCGUUGUUCGGAAUUACUGGGCGUAAAGAGCGCGUAGGCGGUUUAUCAAGUUGGGAGUGAAAUCCCGAGGCUUAACCUCGGAACUGCUUUCAAAACUGAUUAACUUGAGAAUGGUAGAGGAUGGUGGAAUUCCUAGUGUAGAGGUGAAAUGCGUAGAGAUCGGGAGGAACAUCAGUGGCGAAGGCGGCCAUCUGGAUCAACACUGACGCUGAGGCACGAAAGCGUGGGGAGCAAACAGGG
rnacentral:rRNA from 1 species